rnacentral:rRNA from 1 species
AGUGAACGCUGGCGGUAGGCCUAACACAUGCAAGUCGAGCGGCAGCACAGUAAGAGCUUGCUCUUACGGGUGGCGAGUGGCGGACGGGUGAGGAAUACAUCGGAAUCUACUUUUUCGUGGGGGAUAACGUAGGGAAACUUACGCUAAUACCGCAUACGACCUACGGGUGAAAGCAGUGGAUCUUCGGACCUUGCGCGAUUGAAUGAGCCGAUGUCGGAUUAGCUAGUUGGCGGGGUAAAGGCCCACCAAGGCGACGAUCCGUAGCUGGUCUGAGAGGAUGAUCAGCCACACUGGAACUGAGACACGGUCCAGACUCCUACGGGAGGCAGCAGUGGGGAAUAUUGGACAAUGGGCGCAAGCCUGAUCCAGCCAUACCGCGUGGGUGAAGAAGGCCUUCGGGUUGUAAAGCCCUUUUGUUGGGAAAGAAAAGCAGCAGGUUAAUACCCCGCUGUUCUGACGGUACCCAAAGAAUAAGCACCGGCUAACUUCGUG